rnacentral:rRNA from 1 species
UACGUAGGGGGCAAGCGUUAUCCGGAUUUACUGGGUGUAAAGGGAGCGUAGACGGCUUUGCAAGCCAGAUGUGAAAGCCCGAGGCUCAACCCCGGGACUGCAUUUGGAACUGUAUGGCUGAGUGUCGGAGAGGCAGGCGGAAUUCCUAGUGUAGCGGUGAAAUGCGUAGAUAUUAGGAGGAACACCAGUGGCGAAGGCGGCCUGCUGGACGAUGACUGACGUUGAGGCUCGAAAGCGUGGGGAGCAAACAGG